CCUACGGGUGGCAGCAGUGAGGAAUAUUGGUCAAUGGCCGGAAGGCUGAACCAGCCAUGCCGCGUGAAGGUCAGUGCCCUAUGGGCGUUAAACUUCUUUUGUGCGGGAGAAAUAAUGGUCACGUGUGGCCAGACGAGAGUACCGUACGAAUAAGCAUCGGCUAACUCCGUGCCAGCAGCCGCGGUAAUACGGGGGAUGCAAGCGUUAUCCGGGUUUAUUGGGUUUAAAGGGUGCGUGGGCUGGGAGGUAAGUCAGCGGUGAAAUGCCCCCGCUCAACGGGGUGAAGUGCCAUUGAUACUGGCUGGCUGGAGUGCGGAUGCCGUGGGAGGAAUGUGCGGUGUAGCGGUGAAAUGCAUAGAUAUCACACAGAACACCGAUUGCGAAGGCAUCUCACGAACCCGCGAUUGACGCUGAUGCACGAAAGCGUGGGUAUCAAACAGGAUUAGAUACCCCUGUAGUC
rnacentral:rRNA from 1 species